GAAAGGGAGAAAGGCUUCCACCAGUUUUUACAUUGGAUGGGUGAGGGUUUUGAAUUUGACAGGAAAAUAAUGAGCAGGAAAAUGACAUAAAACAUGGCUAAGUGUUUUUGUGGUUUUCUAGGGUGUGGGAGAGUUUACUCCACAUGCCAUUAAUCUGAAUACUUUUGGACAUAGUUGAAAACACACACAAGAAUUAUUUUCUUCUUUUUGAGGAAAUUCGAGUAGGUAUGGUUUAUGUAGAAAGUUAAUUUACCGUGCUCAGGUGAAUAUCUCUGUUACUACCAACUUCUUUGCAAGCUACUUCCAGACAGAUUAAAUAAGCCGCGGUCCUUAGAGUUGCUUCUAAGGUGGAGUCUCCGAUUGGAAAGAGAAGAAUGGAUUUAUAUAUAAAAAAAUUUGCUGAUGUAACAUCUUGUGCGUGUUCUGUGUUUUUUUAAUCUUAUAUUCUGGCUGAGAACAGCAAGCAGCAAACCGGACGCUACCUGGAGAAUUAAUAUUUGACUAUGAUACCUUUCAGCUUAAGAAGUGUAACUACUGUACAUUGGUAAACUUUCAGUAUCUGAGCAAAGUUCUGUGAUUAGCAUUUGGUUUUA